rnacentral:misc_RNA from 1 species
GUGAAUCAUCGAAUUUUUGAACGCAAAUUGCACUCUCUUCGGAGAGUAUGCCCGUUUGAGGGUCAGCCUAAAAAAAAUCGACAUCGUUGCUGUUUCGCGGUGGCGCUCGUCGGAAAUUGGGUUAUCUUAAAUCCUUUUGGUUUUAAGCGACUUAAAAUUUUCUUUUUGGUUCCAUGAACGUUUCUAAGAUCUAUUUCUUUACACGUUUAAGGGUAUCGAUUUUUAUUAGUCGUGACCAUCAUAUCGGAUCGUGUCCAAUAUUAUUCAUUAAAUGA